rnacentral:sRNA from 1 species
GCUUGGCCUUUGGACUACACCAUCUGUCGCUCGCUCUAACGAGCCGGCGUUGCCGCCAGGGGACGCUCGGGCCGCAGGAGGUCGCUGGGUCGUGAGCUGGCGCCGGGGACGCCGAGCGACUGCGGGGUUUCCCUCAGCGUCCUGCUAUCCGGCUGCCCGCCGCGCUCCUUGGUAGUGUCCGUGGGCGCGCAGGCCUUGAAGAACCUCCUCGUGGCGGGACCCCGAGCGCAGGAGAGGUGUCAAAGAGCUGGCGCGUCUCCAGAGCCCCGGGAGGAAGGCUGUAACGGCAGCCCCAUCGUAGACAGGGACAUUCGCAUCCCGAGCCCUGGAUCUCUGAAAACCAGCCCAGAAUUUGGAAGCUGGAAGGAACUUUAGAUCGUCCAUUCUGAGUGUCUCUCUUCGCUGGCGUUUUCCCACUGAGGUUAUGUAAACAUGAAGAGGAGCCUACAAGUGUCAAGGAAAAAACGACAGCUAACCACAGGGCAGGCCAUGGGCAAGAUAUCUCAGUGUUCUCCGCUCUCAUAGGUCAGGUCACGACCCCCAGGAGACCUGGAGGACUGAAUGCUGCUGCCCCCAAGGAGGAGGCUGCUGUCUUAUCCCAGGAGGGAGAGCAGGUGAAGUCCCCAGGGGAGGAAGCACCUAGCCCCAUUCCUGCUGAGCAGGAGGUGGCAGGUACCCCAGACUGGGAGGUAAGGACAGCCCGGGGCUUCGACUGAACGUCUCCAGCGUGGGUCCAACUGAGCAGCCAUGGAGCACUGCAGAGUGGGAGGCAGCAGGGCAGGGAGGCAGUGCUGGAGGCUGGCUCAACCCCAAGACCAGCAGGCCAAGCUGCCAUCCCAGGGGAGCGAGGACGUCUGUGCAGAGCUGAGAGGCAGCAGCCAUGUGUGAACAGACUGGGCCUCAUCCUGGCCCCACCGACUUUGUGUGGACAGAGCCUGUUUCCCUGUCUGUGCAACACAGAACCUGCCUGAUCUCACUGCUGGAUCCCUCUUCUUCCUGCCAGGAAAAUAAAAAGGUUCAAAAGGAAGUUGCUGCGUAUCCAUCUGAGGCCUCUGAGGACAGCAAAGAGCAAAGGCCCUGGGACCGGGUCUACGUGCCCAUGACAGAGCUCUGGCUGGACUGGUUCUGAGCCUCUAACACCCCCAAGACUCAGAACCGUGAAGAAAAUCUUUCCAAUAAAUCCAAGAGUUGCUGCUGCUAUAGGCCAGGCUGCCACCUUUCGGGGCCUCCGUCUUCAGACAAACCCAGCCUGGCUUCAUCCACACUCCCUGUCCCCACAGCUGCAGGAACAGCACUUCCUGCCACCGAGCCGUGUGACCACAGUGGAUUGUCUCUGGAGGGGCCCAAGGGGGCCCUGGCCACCCUUCUGACUGACUCGGUGCCAGGGGACAGACCAACGUCCCUCUCGUGCUGACAGCCGGGCCGCACCCUGGCAUGAGGGCAUUUACAGAAAUGCUGGCGGAACUGCUGCCAGGGAGGCUGUAGGGUCCUCUGGCAAAAGAGGCCUCAGGUGGCUCCUCA